rnacentral:rRNA from 1 species
UGACGCUGGCGGUAUGCUUAACACAUGCAAGUCGAACGGAAACGAAACUAGCUUGCUAGUAGGCGUCGAGUGGCGGACGGGUGAGUAACGCGUAGGAAUCUGCCUGAUAGUGGGGGAUAGCCCGAAGAAAUUCGGAUUAAUACCGCAUAAUCUAUUCGUAGUAAAGUGAGGGACUUUCGAGCCUCACGCUAUCAGAUGAGCCUGCGUAAGAUUAGCUUGUUGGUAGGGUAAAAGCCUACCAAGGCAACGAUCUUUAGCUGGUCUGAGAGGAUGAUCAGCCACAUCGGGACUGAGACACGGCCCGAACUCCUACGGGAGGCAGCAGUGGGGAAUAUUGGACAAUGGGGGCAACCCUGAUCCAGCAAUACCGCGUGUGUGAAGAAGGCCUGAGGGUUGUAAAGCACUUUCAAUUGUGAAGAAAAGUUAACGGUUAAUAACCGUUGACCUUGACGUUAACUUUAGAAGAAGCACCGGCUAACUCCGUGCCAGCAGCCGCGGUAAUACGGAGGGUGCAAGCGUUAAUCGGAAUUACUGGGCGUAAAGCGUGCGUAGGCGGUUUAUUAAGUCAGAUGUGAAAGCCCCGGGCUUAACCUGGGAACUGCAUUUGAAACUGGUCAACUAGAGUAUGGUAGAGGAAAGUGGAAUUUCUGGUGUAGCGGUGAAAUGCGUAGAUAUCAGAAGGAACAUCAAUGGCGAAGGCAGCUUUCUGGACCAAUACUGACGCUGAGGUACGAAAGCGUGGGUAGCAAACAGGAUUAGAUACCCUGGUAGUCCACGCCGUAAACGAUGAUAACUAGCCGUUGGGGGGAUUUACCCUUUAGUGGCGAAGCUAACGCGUUAAGUUAUCCGCCUGGGGAGUACGGCCGCAAGCUAAACUAUAUGAUACG